rnacentral:lncRNA from 1 species
AAUAACUGAACUGCAUGCAUGCAUGCUCUUACUGAAUGUGGAUAGGACACUUUUGAUUUGCCCAAGUGUAUCGAACAUUUUGCCACAUAAAAAAGUUGUGUAUUGCAGAUUCCUUUGUUGGCACAAGUGCAACAUCGGAAAGUAAUUUAAACGGCUUAGACCAAUAUCAAGAACAAAGCCGUGAUACAAACAAGGAUAAAUGGAUGGUUUUUUAUUUGGUCCUGAGUAACCGUACGGUAUCCAUGGGAAGCCUUUAUUUUGGCUCUGUUCUUAUGGAGAUGAAAGCUCGUAACUGAAUGUUAACCCCGACCUCCUACCGGAUUGUUCUAUAUAUCGCUUCCAUGUGUUCUAGGUUUCUAGUUGUGUUUAUGCUGAUUUCUCUCGAGCAGAUCUCCAAAUGGUUGGUGAUGUACUGACGUGAUUGCAGCUUUCAGUUACUAUAUGUUUCUAACUUUUUGGCUUCGACUUUUGGCAGGAAGAUAACCUUUUGCCAUUCAUUUUAUCCUCUAUUCAGAAUGCAUGACAUUGACAUUGUUGGGCUACGAAUAAUCCCCCGAGCAGAUUUUGCUACCACAUUACUGAUGCAUGUGUGUUUGACACACACACACACACACAC